rnacentral:rRNA from 1 species
AUUGAACGCUGGCGGCAUGCCUUACACAUGCAAGUCGAACGGUAACAGGUCUUCGGAUGCUGACGAGUGGCGAACGGGUGAGUAAUACAUCGGAACGUGCCCGAUCGUGGGGGAUAACGAGGCGAAAGCUUUGCUAAUACCGCAUACGAUCUACGGAUGAAAGCGGGGGAUCUUCGGACCUCGCGCGGACGGAGCGGCCGAUGGCAGAUUAGGUAGUUGGUGGGAUAAAAGCUUACCAAGCCGACGAUCUGUAGCUGGUCUGAGAGGAUGAUCAGCCACACUGGGACUGAGACACGGCCCAGACUCCUACGGGAGGCAGCAGUGGGGAAUUUUGGACAAUGGGCGAAAGCCUGAUCCAGCCAUGCCGCGUGCAGGAUGAAGGCCUUCGGGUUGUAAACUGCUUUUGUACGGAACGAAAAGUCUCUUUCUAAUAAAGAGGGGUCAUGACGGUACCGUAAGAAUAAGCACCGGCUAACUACGUG